rnacentral:rRNA from 1 species
UGGGGAAUAUUGCACAAUGGGCGCAAGCCUGAUGCAGCCAUGCCGCGUGUAUGAAGAAGGCCUUCGGGUUGUAAAGUACUUUCAGCGAGGAGGAAGGCCUUGUGGUUAAUAACCGCAGUAAUUGACGUUACUCGCAGAAGAAGCACCGGC